AUCUUGUGCUACUGAUUCUCCUGUCAAAACCAUGGACUGUGAUACACCAAGGUCAUGACUGUUGCUCUGAGUGUGCUCUAGUGCUAUGUGGCAUGUCUCAGAAAAAACAAAUUACAUACUUUAAUUUUUUUCUCUGAACUUGGAAGAAAUCCACUGCAACAACAAAAACAGCUGCCAGCUAGAGCUAAAAUACAGCUUUAGCCUCCAACUUCAGUCUUCCAUCAGCCUGAAUGACACAUAGCAAGCUCUACGUCACAACCAGCCCUUUUUCCCCAUCCCACAGGAGAAAAGAAGAUGCUGAAGCAGCAGAACAGCAACUGCAAUUUCUGUGUUUCCUAAGAGCUCGGGAAGGCUCCUGACAGCUUUCCAUACUGGCAGAAGUACUACUGCCCACUCUGCCAAAGGCAGUGGGAUACACCAGAACAGCAGGCUGGAAAUGGAGGAUUUGCUCCAGCAAACAGGCAGAAGCUGAAAGGAAAUUCCUGGGAGGGAGGAAGGAACUGUGUGAUGAGUAGAAAAACGAGGUUCACGAAGAGACCUGCUGAUAGAUGUCCAGUGAAAUCAACCUCAUCCAUUCUACUGUCAGGAGACUUCAUUUGUUUAUUAUGGCCUCAUCUUCAUCAUGUCAACUAAUGUGCUGUAUUGACAGAGUGAAUUAUCUUGCAGUUCUCAAUAAAUUACUGACUGACAUUAUGUUUUGUCUGCUUUUGAUUUGCUAUAAGGAGGGAUUUGCAACAGAAAUGACUGAAAGGAGUGGAUAUCGCCAUCCAUCACAUGAAAGGGUGAUUAAUGGUACUGCUUUGACCUUUUCCAGUUAGCUCCAACCAAGAAAUAGAAAAGAAGUUUCUUUCUGUAGCCCUCCUCGGACACACCUUCCCUAGAACUAACUUGAUGCCUGAGAGGAGGGACAUCUGGUGUGGCCUCCAUCACUGGGAGGACAAGAACAAAUGGGCCACACCCAUCAAAAAAUGCUGCCAGGAGCAAAAGUCCAUAAUGCUUUCCUCUGAUAUGGUAGGAAAAACAAAUGCUUAGAGAGGCGUAGUUUGAAUCUGGUGCCCCUUACACUUCACUGCUCUGAAGUAUGGUGUGCCAAGCUGGGGCUAAGAUUUUUGAGUGCAAAUGACUUUCAGUUUGAAAACAAGGUUUAAAGUUAUCCAUACGGUACAUGCUGCCUCUCCAGGGAUAAUUUGCUGAAACAUAUGAGAAUAGAAAUUUGUGGAAAACUUUUUAUGGUGUCUCCCUGCAGAUUACUAAAAAUAUGUUCCUCUUUCAGUUUUUGUGAGUCCUGUUUUUCAAUGCACUGUUUAUUGCCUUGAGUUCUAAGGUUUAUACCUUGCCACACUGUUUUAUGGAUCUUUAUCAUUAUUUUCUUCUCCAAUUAUGCCUUCAAAACAGAGUUAGAUCCCUUUUAUGCAGCUCAGCAAAAGUCCGUGCCACUGGCUUGGCACAGGAAUAGUUCCCACCAAGCUGAGCCAUUUCUGAAGAAAAUAUCCAACAGACUAUCUCCACUCAGGGAGUAUGGAGAGCAUGAAAUGCUGAUGGACAAAGCCAAUUUGUUUGUAGCAACUUAAGCAUCAUUUGAGACAAGAGCUGUCAGUCCAAAAUCAAAAAGGAAAUGGGCAAGGUGAUUCUAGACUUGUUGGUAAGCCUGUGGGAGGACAAGAAAUGAAACAAAACUACAGCACACCAUUCUUCAGCAUGACAAAAUUGGAUUGAUUGAUGGGAACAACUGAGAUCUGCAGCAGUGAGACUGAUGUGGAAAACAAAUAGAUUCAACUAAGUGGUUUAGCAGUGACUGGGAAAUGAGCAUUCAACAAAAAACUGAUUUUAUCAUAACUCUCAAAACUUUUGCAGCAGGAAAGAACAUCAGUGACAGCAGCAGCAAAUGAUGAUAUUUUAUUCUGCAGAGACACCUGGUUUGUACAAGGGCCACUGGAGUGACUAAUCAGGUGAGAAACUUAAUCUACCUUCCUAGGCCAUGGAAGCUGGGAACUCUGUAGUACUGCCAAGGAUAGUAUUGCUGGGUAAAGUGUUUGCUCAAGUCAGAAAAAGGCUGCAUUGUUCAAGAAACAAAGAGUGUGUUGUCCAGCUCUCCUACUGCAGUGCUCUGCUACACCUUUCUCACAGCCACACCAUGGAAGUAAAAAUGGAUCUUGUCUGGGAGGUAUAUGUCUUCUAAGCAGCCCAGAAAAAAAGUGGAGAAUCUCCUUGAGACACAAGACAUGUUUCUUCCUGGGGCUGAGACCUUGCUUUCUUGGCAAGGUGUUUUUGCUGGCAAGAGACAAGAAAUCACUGCAGGAGUGGAGACUUCCAAGCCUCUGCCUAAGACAGAAGAAAGGAGAAAAAAAAAGGAAGAGAAGCUCUCUAAAAUUGGAGGGUGAUCCACAUGGCUCUUAAGGAGAGGAGCAACAAGGGCUGGUAGUGGUGGACACUGAGGAGCUGGAGUCCAGAAGAACUUACAACAAAACCAAGAAAAUAGCUUUGUUUCAGAGCUGAUUAUAAUUUUUAAAGCUGGUGGAACUGAAUGGUUUCUGAUGCAGAUCUGCUUCCUUAUUCCUCUGGUUUUAAGCA